rnacentral:lncRNA from 1 species
GAGACAGAAAACACCUCCGCAAACCUGGGAAACAGGACGCAGUCCAGGUGAGUGCGUAGGACCGAAAGAGGCAGGAGAGGCCCCAGGUACCUAGGGGUUUCCAGGAAGGCCAGCUGGGAAGCAGCAGUGACCCGAGGGACAAGAUGCCCAGGUCAAGAGUAAGGAAGGAAGCUUCCUUCCUCUGAAGGAAGACCAAGCUGGGAGACAUCAGGCUCAGGAGCAUACAGAACAAGGAAGGGAGACGAUUGGGUCGGAGGAGCAUGGAAGGAGGUAACCAUCUCUUCCAAGUGGAAAGGCCAUUCAGACAGAAAGUCCACUGAGUACUCAGGUGAGAAGGACAGAGAGGAGCAGCACAGUUACAGCCUUUCGUCCCAGGUACUGUGUAUGUUUUUAA